UUUAUACAAUAAGACUUUUCGUGUAUUAAAGACCUCUGAUAUAAAUACUCUCUACCCUCGCUCUCAAUCAGUUAGUAGAAGAGUAACAACCGAUGUUUAAUAAGUGACUCUGUGACCUUUGUGUAUAUAAUACAACUAAUUCAGUUCCAAUUAGGGAUAAAUUCCAUCUACUCUUACUGUUUAACCCUUUGAUGGCGUGGAUACUUACACACUUAAAAGCUGACUUUGAACUGUUACUGUUAACAGUUGACUUUGAACUGUUAACAGUGAUUGAAGUAUCGACGGCUACUGUUCAGUACGUUUAUUAAACAGUAUCAAGUAAAAACCAAAAGUAACAGUUUCAAAGAAGUCGAUAAGAGGAGAACACUAAUAUACCUACUACCGCACCGUAGAAGGACAGUCAUACGUAGACUUAGCAUCAUACUCAACCUUUGGGUUGUAUGGUCCUAUUGAAACACAUACUUAUACUCGUACUAAACAUGGAAUGACAAUAAAAGAUGUCUACUUAUACUCGUACUACAGUUCACCUAGAAACAUGAAGACUUAUAAGCAUUGAUGUGCAAUAAUGCACGAAUUACUGUGUUUACAAUUACGUAUGAAAGAUAAGUGUUGGGUAUUUAACCUUGUACUACAUAAGUAACCGAAGGAAAAACAUAUUACAGACAGGUUUGAUAAGGACAUGCAGUCAAAACCAUAGGAAUCUGUACCAGACUUUGAGAUUUACCUAAGAACACGAACUCAAUCGAGUCUCAACCUUUGGGUUGUAUGGUCCUAUUGAAACACAUACUUAUACUCGUACUAAACAUGGAAUAACAAUAAAAGAUGUCUACUUAUACUCGUACUACAGUUCACCUAGAAACAUGAAGACUUAUAAGCAUUGAUGUGCAAUAAUACACGAAUUACUGUGUUUAUAAUUACGCAUGAAAGAUAAGUGUUGGGUAUUUAACCUUGUACUACAUAAGUAACCGAAGGAAAAACAUAUUACAGAUAGGUUUGAUAAGGAAAUGCAGUCAAAACCAUAGGAAUCUGUACCAGACUUUGAGAUUUACCUAAGAACACGAACUCAAUCGAGUCCCGAAAGUAUAUACGUGAACAUAAAGCCAAAGUCACACUACGUACGAAUAACGGCUACCUGGAGGGUAACAAAUAUAGGAUGGUCAUAUCGGUGCGAGGGAUAGUAGAAUAGACAACUUUCACGGAGGGGUACCACAACAAGCAGUUUUCGAAAGAAGGAGAAAGAGACCUUUAAUGUCCUCAACAACACGUCUUCCAGACUCCUACGAAACCGGAUUACUUCCCAUACUUCUCUUGACGGAGACGGAAUCAAGUACUCUCGUUCCAUCCGUUGUUCCUCCUCCCAGGCCGCCUUCAGUUCUUUGUUCUCUUGUGACUGGACCUCUUUGAGAUACAUCGUCCGGAAACAGCCUCUCUACCGGCUUGAUGUUGACAGUUCAAGGAGGCCACAUGUGCGAAGUAACCGAAGAAAUAGGAAUGUACACCUUUAAACCGAAAAGUCAAAACGUAGCUGACACCUUUGUAGGACUGUGAUAGGUCAACACCACGAUCGAAACCCCACUUACACGAAGGAAAGUACACACAAUCCGUCGUCGUCCUCCGACCUACCCUAGAAGACGAUACUACUCGCAAACGAAGAUUAGCCUACUACAACACUCUUGCCGUGGCGGCCUGGCUACAAGAAACUGUGAAGAUAAAGUAGUACCUGGCAAAGUUUUUUUUUUGAUACAACUGUCCCGGUCUGCCGCCGCGGCACCGCUCGCGUGGUUCCGCCUCCUAUUUCACAACAGCGGUUACACGACCCGACCCAACCUGUAAGAAUAACAUUUUAUUUUUACCUGGCC
rnacentral:rRNA from 1 species